GACGAACGCUGGCGGCGUGCUUAACACAUGCAAGUCGAACGGAAAGGCCCUGCUUUUGUGGGGUGCUCGAGUGGCGAACGGGUGAGUAACACGUGAGUAACCUGCCCUUGACUGUGGGAUAACUUCAGGAAACUGGGGCUAAUACCGGAUAGGAGCUCCUGCUGCAUGGUGGGGGUUGGAAAGUUUCGGCGGUUGGGGAUGGACUCGCGGCUUAUCAGCUUGUUGGUGGGGUAGUGGCUUACCAAGGCUUUGACGGGUAGCCGGCCUGAGAGGGUGACCGGCCACAUUGGGACUGAGAUACGGCACAGACUCCUACCGGAGGCAGCAGUGCGGAAUAUUGCACAAUGGGCGGAAGCCUGAUGCAGCACCGCCGCGUGCGGGAUGACGGCCUUCGGGUUGUAAACCGCUUUCGCCUGUGACGAAGCGUGAGUGACGGUAAUGGGUAAAGAAGCACCGGCUAACUACGUG
rnacentral:rRNA from 1 species